rnacentral:rRNA from 1 species
UACGUAGGGUGCAAGCGUUGUCCGGAAUUAUUGGGCGUAAAGAGCUCGUAGGCGGUUUGUCGCGUCUGCUGUGAAAAUCCAGGGCUUAACCCUGGACCUGCAGUGGGUACGGGCAGACUAGAGUGCGGUAGGGGGAGAUCGGAAUUCCUGGUGUAGCGGUGAAAUGCGCAGAAUAUCAGGAGGAACACCGGUGGCGAAGGCGGAUCUCUGGGCCGUAACUGACGCUGAGGAGCGAAAGCAUGGGGAGCGAACAGGA